GAUGAACGCUGGCGGCGUGCCUAAUACAUGCAAGUCGAGCGAACAGAUGAGGAGCUUGCUCCUCUGACGUUAGCGGCGGACGGGUGAGUAACACGUGGAUAACCUACCUAUAAGACUGGGAUAACUUCGGGAAACCGGAGCUAAUACCGGAUAAUAUAUUGAACCGCAUGGUUCAAUAGUGAAAGACGGUUUUGCUGUCACUUAUAGAUGGAUCCGCGCCGCAUUAGCUAGUUGGUAAGGUAACGGCUUACCAAGGCAACGAUGCGUAGCCGACCUGAGAGGGUGAUCGGCCACCCUGGAACUGAGACACGGUCCAGACGCCUACGGGAGGCAGCAGUAGGGAAUCUUCCGCAAUGGGCGAAAGCCUGACGGAGCAACGCCGCGUGAGUGAUGAAGGUCUUCGGAUCGUAAAACUCUGUUAUUAGGGAAGAACAAAUGUGUAAGUAACUAUGCACGUCUUGACGGUACCUAAUCAGAAAGCCACGGCUAACUACGUG
rnacentral:rRNA from 1 species